AACGAACGCUGGCGGCAUGCCUAACACAUGCAAGUCGAACGAGACCUUCGGGUCUAGUGGCGCACGGGUGCGUAACGCGUGGGAACCUGCCCUUAGGUUCGGAAUAACUCCCCGAAAGGGGUGCUAAUACCGGAUAAUGUCUUCGGACCAAAGAUUUAUCGACUUUGGAUGGGCCCGCGUUGGAUUAGCUAGUUGGUAGGGUAAAAGCAUACCAAGGCGACGAUCCAUAGCUGGUCUGAGAGGAUGAUCAGCCACACUGGGACUGGGACACGGCCCAGACUCCUACGGGAGGCAGCAGUGGGGAAUAUUGGACAAUGGGCUAAAGCCUGAUCCAGCAAUGCCGCGUGAGUGAUGAAGGCCUUAGGGUUGUAAAGCUCUUUUACCCGGGAUGAUAAUGACAGUACCGGGAGAAUAAGCUCCGGCUAACUCCGUG
rnacentral:rRNA from 1 species